rnacentral:ncRNA from 17 species
ACCUCAUCAAACGGAAAAGGUUUUACUUAAGGUAAAUUAAUAGGGAAUCGUGUGAAAAUCACGAGCUGUCGCGCAACUGUAAGUAAUAUACCAAAGGUUUUUGUCCAAGUAGAUCAACUGUGCAAACGGGAAGGAUGACAAAAGCUGUUACAAGUCAGGAGACCUGCCUGUUCCGAAUGGACAAUG